GACGAACCGUCCUAACGUUAUUCGGAUUCACUGGGCUUAAAGGGCGCGUAGGCGGUUUGCCAAGUCCGGGGUGAAAUCUUUCGGCUCAACCGGAAAAGUGCCUUGGAUACUGGCGAACUUGAGGGAGGUAGGGGCAUGUGGAACUUCCGGUGGAGCGGUGAAAUGCGUUGAUAUCGGAAGGAACGCCGGUGGCGAAAGCGACGUGCUGGCCCUCUUCUGACGCUGAGGCGCGAAAGCCAGGGGAGCAAACGGG
rnacentral:rRNA from 1 species